rnacentral:rRNA from 1 species
CCAACAGGGAUUGCCCCAGUAACGGCGAGUGAAGCGGCAACAGCUCAAAUUUGAAAUCUGGCCCCAGGCCCGAGUUGUAAUUUGCAGAGGAUGCUUCGGGCGCGGCGCCUCCCAAGUCCCCUGGAACGGGGCGCCUGAGAGGGUGAGAGCCCCGUACGGUUGGAUGCCUAGCCCUUGUGAAGCUCCUUCGACGAGUCGAGUAGUUUGGGAAUGCUGCUCAAAAUGGGAGGUAGACCCCUUCUAAAGCUAAAUACCGGCCAGAGACCGAUAGCGCACAAGUAGAGUGAUCGAAAGAUGAAAAGCACUUUGAAAAGAGGGUUAAACAGCACGUGAAAUUGUUGAAAGGGAAGCGCUUGUGACCAGACUUGCGCCGGGGCGAUCAUCCGGCGUUCUCGCCGGUGCACUCGCCCCGGCUCAGGCCAGCGUCGGUUCGGGCGGGGGGAGAAAUGCGCUGGGAACGUGGCUCCCCCGGGAGUGUUAUAGCCCAGCGCGUCAUGUCCCCGCCCGGACCGAGGUUCGCGCUCUGCAAGGACGCUGGCGUAAUGGUCACCAGCGGCCCGUCUUGAAACACGGACCAAGGAGUCGAGGUUCUGCGCGAGUGUCUGGGUGUCAAACCCGCACGCGCAAUGAAAGUGAACGUAGGUGGGAGCUUCGGCGCACCACCGACCGAUCCUGAUGUUCUCGGAUGGAUUUGAGUAAGAGCGUAGGGCCUCGGACCCGAAAGAUGGUGAACUAUGCUUGGAUAGGGUGAAGCCAGAGGAAACUCUGGUGGAGGCUCGCAGCGGUUCUGACGUGCAAAUCGAUCGUCAAAUCUGAGCAUGGGGGCGAAAGACUAAUCGAACCAU